rnacentral:lncRNA from 1 species
UCAAAGGUCAUCCAGUCCAACCUCUUUUUGCCUGGCAGGAAAGAAACCAUCCAAACCCUCCCAACAAAUGGCCAGCCAACCUCAAGAUCUCUAGAGAAGAAGACACCAAUAGACUCCUGACACAUCACCUGUGUUUCAAGACCUCCAGAGAUGCCACUGGACUCCCAGACAAUCUGUAUCCCAUUGUAGUUGGGACUCUCAAAGGUCAUCCAGUCCAACCCCUUUUUGGCUGGCAGGAAAGACUCCAUCCAAGCCCUCCCAACAGAUGGCCAGACAAUCUCAAGAUCUCUAGAGAAGAAGACACCAAUAGACUCCCGACACAUCACCUGUGUUUCAAGCCCUCCAGAGAUGCCACUGGGCUCCCAGGCAAUCCGUAUCCCAUUGCAGUUGGGACCCUCAAAGGUCAUCCAGUCCAACCCCUUUUUGCCAGGCAGGAAAGACACCAUCCCAAACCUCACAACAGAUGGCCAGACAAUCUCAAGAUCUCUAGAGAAGAAGACACCAAUAGACUCCCGACACAUCACCUGUGUUUCAAGCCCUCCAGAGAUGCCACUGGGCUCCCAGGCAAUCCGUAUCCCAUUGUAGUUGGGACCCUCAAAGGUCAUCCAGUCCAACCCCUUUUUGCCAGGCAGGAAAGACACCAUACCAAACCUCACAACAGAUGGCCAGACAAUCUCAAGAUCUCUAGAGAAGAAGACACCAAUAGACUCCCGACACAUCACCUGUGUUUCAAGCCCUCCAGAGAUGCCACUGGGCUCCCAGGCAAUCCGUAUCCCAUUGUAGUUGGGACCCUCAAAGGUCAUCCAGUCCAACCCCUUUUUGACUGGCAGGAAAGACACCAUCCCAAACCUCACAACAAAUGGCCGGCCAGCCUCAAGAUCUCUAGAGAAGAAGACACCAAUAGACUCCCGACACAUCACCUGUGUUUCAAGAGCUCCAGAGAUGCCACUGGGCUCCCAGGCAAUCCGUAUCCCAUUCCAGUUGAGACCCCCAAAGGUCAUCCAUCCCAACCCCUUUCUGCUAAACAGAGGCAGGCAUCACAUCAUCCUUCGCUACACAUGGUCUGAGUUUCAAGACUGCCAAAUGAAGAGGUGACACCAGGCUCCCAGGCAAUCCGUAUCCCAUUGCAAAUGGGAUCCUCAAAGGUCAUCUAGUCCAACCCCUUUCUGCCAGGCAGGAAUGACGCCAUCCAAGACUUCUCAACAGAUGGCUCACCAACCUCAAGAUCUUCUUAGAAGGAAAACCACUAGACUCCUGACAUGAUCUGUGUUUCAAGACCUCCAGAGAUGCCACUGGGCUCCCAGGCGAUCAGU